rnacentral:rRNA from 1 species
CAGUCGCCGCGGGAAUACGGAGGGUGCAAGCGUUAAUCGGAAUUAUUGGGCGUAAAGCGCGCGCAGGCGGAUCAGUUAGUCUGUCUUAAAAGUUCGGGGCUUAACCCCGUGAUGGGAUGGAAACUGCUGAUCUAGAGUAUCGGAGAGGAAAGUGGAAUUCCUAGUGUAGCGGUGAAAUGCGUAGAUAUUAGGAAGAACACCAGUGGCGAAGGCGACUUUCUGGACGAAAACUGACGCCGAGGCGCGAAAGCCAGGGGAGCGAACGGGAUUAGAUACCCCCGUAGUCCCUGUCUCUUAUACC